UACGUAGGUGGCAAGCGUUACUCGGAAUCACUAGGCGUAAAGCGCAGGUAGGCGGUUUGAUAAGUCUGUUGUGAAAGCUCCCGGCUCAACUGGGAGAGGCCAACGGAAACUGUCAGGCUAGAGUGCGAUAGGGGAGAUCGGAAUUCCUGGUGUAGCGGUGAAAUGCGCAGAUAUCAGGAGGAACACCAGUGGCGAAGGCAGCACUCGUCG
rnacentral:rRNA from 1 species